rnacentral:rRNA from 1 species
GAUGAACGCUAGCGGCAGGCUUAAUACAUGCAAGUCGAACGGGAUUUGAGUAGCAAUAUUCAAUGAGAGUGGCGCACGGGUGCGUAACGCGUAUGCAACCUACCUUUAACAGGGGGAUAGCCCGGAGAAAUCCGGAUUAAUACCCCAUAGAAUAUAAUUGUGGCCUCACAUUUAUAUUAAAGCUCCGGUGGUUAAAGAUGGGCAUGCGUGCCAUUAGCUAGUUGGUGAGGUAACGGCUCACCAAGGCGACGAUGGCUAGGGGUCCUGAGAGGGUUAUCCCCCACACUGGUACUGAGACACGGACCAGACUCCUACGGGAGGCAGCAGUAAGGAAUAUUGGGCAAUGGACGCAAGUCUGACCCAGCCAUGCCGCGUGCAGGAAGACGGCCUUAUGGGUUGUAAACUGCUUUUUAUCAGGGAAUAAACCCUUGUUGUAAACAAGGCUGAAGGUACCUGAAGAAUAAGCAUCGGCUAACUCCGUGCCAGCAGCCGC